UUUAAUAAGCUUUUUAAAUAAGGUUUCAGUCCAGUGUGACCUAAACGCACAUUUUCACUCCUUUCAAGUAAAAUAGCAGGCAAGCUAAUGUUAGGCCUAAAGUUAUCUGUUUUUUUCACUGAACUUCUAACGUUAGUUGUUUUAGUCUAUUUUUUUGUUUACAUAUGAUAUGACUAUUCUCCACUUCAUGUAAUGUUGUUUCAGAUCUUUAUUUCAUAUCAUAUUAAUUCAUAAUUAAUAAGUUACCAUGUGUGUAAAAAUGAGUAAGUGUGUGUGUGUGUGUGUGUUCUGUUGCAGCUUACAACUCAUUCAAGUGCCACCAGUGUGUUUUUGGAGUAUUUCUUCUUUCUAUUUCAUCUUUCAUUUGAGGAAAGUAAGAUUAAAAACUGUUUUAAACUUGAUUUUGUCAAAUACUGAUAAUGGUCCUCAACUACAGCUUUUAACGUGUAAUAAAUGUGCCAUUUCAAAAGAUUCAUACCAUUAUUUCUUACCAUAUUAAUUAAUAAUUAAUAAGUUACUGUUUGUGUUUGUGUUCUGUUGCAGCUUACAGCUCAUUCAAGUGCCACCAGUGUGUUUUUGGAGUAUUGCAUCUUUCGAUUUCAUCUUAAACGAACAUCUGAGUAAAGUAAGAUUAAAAACUGUUUUAAACUUCUUUAGCCAGCUAUUUUGUCAAAUACUGAUAAUUAGGGCUGGACGAUUAAUCAAAGUACUUGAAACCCGAAAUUCAGAACCUCUAACCGACGCAAUUGAUGUAAAACACAGAGACAGCGCACGAGCAGUGAGCCUUGCGUCUUCACUAAACUCUGUCAGUUGUAUGUGUUUUAUGGUUUAUGUGUAUUAGCCUAUGGUUUGCCAGUUUAGACAUUCAAACGAUUAUAUGAUCCGAUGUGUAUUAUAUCGAGCUCGGUGCUCAUGCUCAAUAAUUGAGGUAAAAUGUUUAAUUAAUUGAGGUUUUGAUUUUAGGUCAUAAUUGUCCAGCCCUACUUAUAAUGGUCCACACUACAACUUUUAACAUGUAAUACACGUGCCAUUUGAUUUCAAAAGAUUCAUACAAGGUUAAAAGUUUAGGCUGUUUCUUAGGUUGUGUUUGUUAUUGGAAAUGAGAUUUGCAUUAUAUAUAACACUGUGGAAAGCAGUGAUGGAGUGUACAUAGUAUACAAAGAAUUUUCAGAGAUGUUUUUGUUUAAAAACCUACUUUUUAGGUUUACAACCUACUUUGUUGGUUUCACUUUCAUGCAUCGGAUUUAAUCAGAAUAUCUUAAUUUGUGUUCCGAAGAUGAAUGAAGCCCUUACAUGUGUAGAACAACAUGAGGAUUUCUUCCCUUGCGACUGUUGGGGGCCAUGACACAAAACGUGUCACGUGGAAGUGGAACAUCCUUUCCCGCAUGUUCCAGGAUGACGUUGGGAGAAGGGUGUGAAUGGGGAAAAAAGCAUUCAGCCAGAUGGAGUCCAAGAAGUUCCUCCUGUGUGCUGUGAGAAAGAGCCAUGUAUCACGUGCCGCCACUGAUGAAGAAAUCACAAAACACACAAUACGGUGGUUCAGCCUGGCAGCUCAUAGGGGAAGCUCAAGGAACGUCCCACUGUGAGCACCCAGCAGUAGAGUUCUUCAGAGCUUCAUUGUUACCUUCGGUGUUUUGAACAGUUACAAUAAAAUAAAGGUACAAGGUUACUAUUUUAGAUAAAUGUUUUUUAAUUGUUUUGGUUUUUAUUCAAAGAAUCAACUUGUUUUUAUUUUUCUAUUAAAAGAAAAUUAAAUGAAAUCCAGUUUCUAAAAAAAAUAAAGAAAAUAAGCAGUACAACUGUUAACA